CCCACUAAAUGGGGCCAACCAUAGACAGCAGGCGUCCGCAAAUACGGGCUUAAUCUCCUGCCGAGGUACAAAGCAUUUAUGCAAGGUCGUUUUGUGCUAUAGGUCUGUGGAAAUCACAGAUUUUUUUGUUAAAUA
rfam:Candidatus Magasanikbacteria bacterium RIFOXYA2_FTLL_44_8 rifoxya2_full_scaffold_4241, whole genome shotgun sequence.